rnacentral:rRNA from 1 species
UACGUAGGGUGCGAGCGUUGUCCGGAAUUACUGGGCGUAAAGAGCUUGUAGGUGGUUUGUCGCGUUGUUCGUGAAAACUCACAGCUCAACUGUGGGCGUGCGGGCGAUACGGGCAGACUAGAGUACUGCAGGGGAGACUGGAAUUCCUGGUGUAGCGGUGGAAUGCGCAGAUAUCAGGAGGAACACCGGUGGCGAAGGCGGGUCUCUGGGCAGUAACUGACGCUGAGACGCGAAAGCGUGGGGAGCAAACAGG